UACGGAGGGUGCGAGCGUUGUCCGGAAUCAUUGGGCGUAAAGGGCGCGUAGGUGGCCCGGUCAGUCUUUGGUGAAAGCGCGGGGCUCAACCCUGCGUCGGCCAGGGAUACUGCCGCGGCUCGAGCACUGUAGAGGCAGGCGGAAUUCCGGGUGUAGUAGUGAAAUGCGUAGAUAUCAGGAGGAACACCCGUGGCGAAGGCGGCUUUCUAGGAUAUACCUGACACUGAGAAGCGACAGCUAGGGGAGCAAACAGG
rnacentral:rRNA from 1 species